rnacentral:rRNA from 1 species
UACGUAGGGGCUAGCGUUGUCCGGAAUCAUUGGGCGUAAAGCGCGUGUAGGCGGCCCGGUAAGUCCGCUGUGAAAGUCGGGGGCUCAACCCUCGGAUGCCGGUGGAGUACUGUCGGGCUAGAGUACGGAAGAGGCGAGUGGAAUUCCGUGGUGUAGCGGUGAAAUGCGCAGAGUAUCAAGGAGGAACACCAGUAGCGAAGGCGGAC